rnacentral:lncRNA from 10 species
GCAGACGGGGUCAUGGACCCAGGCCCCAUUCUUCUAUGGGACGGCUUGGAGAGCAGAGCAGCUCCCAGACACAGCGCCCAACUUGCCAAGACUCCUGAAGGGAUGCCGCAGCCUCAGGCAGAAUCCACGUGUCUUGCUUGGAGCAGGGUGUCUGAUGCAAGGCUACUGUAGAAAUGUUCCAGAAAGCAUAACCUAUGAUGGAGGCAAGGCCCAGAACAGUCCAACAGCACUGAGUAAAAAAUAAAAAUUAUAAAUGCAGAUAAGACUGGGCGCGGUGGCUCAUGCCUGUAAUCCCAGCACUUUGGGAAGCCGAGGUGGGCAGAUCACUUAAGGUCAGGAAUUCCAGACCAGCCUGGCCAACAUGGUGAAACCCCAUCUCUACUAAAAAUACAAAACGUAGCUGAGCAUGGUGGUGCACACCUGUAAUCCCAGCUACUGGGGAGGCUGAGGCAGGGAGAAUUGCUUGAACCUGGGAGGCAGAGGUUGCAGUGAGCCGAGACCAUGCCACUGCACUCCAGCCUGGGCAACAGAGUGAGACUCUGUCUCUAAAUAAAUAAAUAAUAAAAAUAAACGCAGAUAAGCCAGAUUAUCUGGAGG